GAUGAACGCUGACAGAAUGCUUAACACAUCAGCAAUUGAUUGGUGGCGGACGGGUGAGUAACGCGUAAAGAACUUGCCUCACAGGUAGGCACAAAAUUUGGAAACGAAUGCUAAUACGUAAUACAGUGAGAGAGCUUUUCGUCCCAUUAGCUAGUUGGAGAGGUAACGGCUCACCGAGGCGAGGAUGGGUAGCCGGCCUGAGAGGGUGAUCGGCCACACGGGGCCUGGGACUCGGCUCUUACUCCUACGGGAGGCAGCAGUGGGGAAUAUUGGAAGAAGGACCACAGUAUGAUUCAGCAAUUCUGUGUGCACGAUGAAGUUUUAGGAAUGAAAAGUGCUUUCAUUUGGGAAGCGGUACCAACAGAAGAAGUGACGGCUAAAUACGUGCCAGCAGCCGCGGUAAUUC
rnacentral:rRNA from 1 species